GAAGCACACCGUUAAAGCCGGGCACUGAUGUGAGUGUUUCGGUGUCGGAAGUGUGCGAAAGCAAGCAGGCCGGGGUUUCGCUAACACCAUGAGGGCGGCUGUCCUAUGACUGGGGUUUGAUAGUGACCUGAGCCACAGUU
ensembl:snoRNA SNORA62 Small nucleolar RNA SNORA62/SNORA6 family